GACGAACGCUGGCGGCGUGCCUAAUACAUGCAAGUAGAACGCUGAAGCUUGGUGCUUGCACCGAGCGGAUGAGUUGCGAACGGGUGAGUAACGCGUAGGUAACCUGCCUGGUAGCGGGGGAUAACUAUUGGAAACGAUAGCUAAUACCGCAUAAUAGUAAAUGUUGCAUGACAUUUGCUUAAAAGGUGCAAUUGCAUCACUACCAGAUGGACCUGCGUUGUAUUAGCUAGUUGGUGAGGUAACGGCUCACCAAGGCAACGAUACAUAGCCGACCUGAGAGGGUGAUCGGCCACACUGGGACUGAGACACGGCCCAGACUCCUACGGGAGGCAGCAGUAGGGAAUCUUCGGCAAUGGACGGAAGUCUGACCGAGCAACGCCGCGUGAGUGAAGAAGGUUUUCGGAUCGUAAAGCUCUGUUGUAAGAGAAGAACGAGUGUGAGAGUGGAAAGUUCACACUGUGACGGUAUCUUACCAGAAAGGGACGGCUAACUACGUG
rnacentral:rRNA from 1 species